CGCUGCAGGUGCACCCGUAUUCCCUGACCCGACUAAAAAAAGAAAAGGAGGGUGGGGAGAAGAAAGAGCGGAGAGCAAAGGUGUAGGCCGACCGCCGAUCUCAACGACGGCGGUGGUGUUGGUGGAGGUGGUAGGUACGAGGAGGUCGAGGGGCUCUUCGAAUAGAUAGAGGAGGACCUGGAAGAUUGAGGAGAAGGGGUUCUAAGCUCUACCUUCCCUACCCCUUCUUCUCCGCGGGCGACUACCACUACCUGAGGAGCAACUGGCGCCGCCGCGUCUGCCGCAGCUCCCCAGGUCUCUGGCCCCGCACCCUCACCUACCGUUCCCUCGCGCGUCGGCAGCUGGGGCACGUGACAGAGGGAGAGAGGAGUUGCUGAGCGCCGCUUCUUCGGCGACCUCCUCCUCGAGCUGGGCCUGCUGCCACCGGCCUCCUGCAGUGGUACCCCUAAACGACGUUUCCCGGUGGCCUCCUCCUCGGGUUGAUGUCCUCUUACGCCACAUCGUUCUCGGAGCGGUCGUAGCAGCCGUAGCUCGUCAGGAGAUUUCGAGCAGGAGUGGUGGUGCCUGCGGCUUUGCCGAGGUUACCUUUCCAACCUACGAGUGUACCUUCUUCACUAGACUAAAACGAGAGAGUAGAGAGAAACAUCUAAAAACAAGUACGACCCUACACAAGUACACACCUUCGACCCGACACAGAUAUACAUGUAAAAACAAGUACGUUCUUAAAAAAUAAAUGUGAGUAAUCUAAUACAAUAAGAGUACACAUCGAGCAGUAAAUAGGUUUUAUAACAAGAAGGUAAACCCCGAAAUCAACGUCUAAGUACGAAUUUUAAUAUAACAAGUCUGCGUAGAAACGCACGAACAAAACGAAAUUGGGCAGCGGAUCGGUACUUCGUGAGACGACGUCGAAGAGUGAAGUGCCAGCUGCUGUGAGACGAGGUUGGGCAGUGAAGCGACACUUCGGGAGACGACGUCGGAGAGUGAAUUGGCAUCUGCUGUGUGACGAGGUUGGGCAGAGACAGGUCAGGGUCUGUUUGGACAACAUUUCCAAUAAUAAAACACGUAGAAAACGACGUAGUUGAUCCCGACUUUCCUGAUUUUAAUAAGUUGAAACAAUGAUCCCUAGACCAGUAUCCAUAACAUUUAUGAUUUAUCAUACUAUAGGAAAAUUCUUUGUUAAAAAGAAAAACAAAACUACACGAACACUAAACGAGAGGUCCAAUAGAAAGAACUCUUGAAUAACCAAAUGGUUAAACUCUAAACAAAGUAGUACAAAAACAUGGUACAGUAGCCCUAAAAGUAAACAAGACGGUAUGUGUCUUGUAUAACGUCACGAAGUCCCAAAAGUUAACAAGAAGACGGUAUGGUAUACAUACGCACAUAUAAGGACUGAAUAUCAAAGGAAAAACAACACGUUUUCACGAAUAUUAAAGAGUACGGGAGUUGAUGAUAAAAUCGAAAUCAUACGAGACCCAUAUUCGUACCGGCGAUGUUACCAGUCAUGGUUCCCACUCACGGAGGUGCAAACUUCUACUAGAGUAUCCUACGGAUAUUGAUACGAAGAAAAUAAACCAUUUUUCUUUGAUACGAAAAAAAUAAGAGAACCAACUUACAAUUUGUUCUUUUUGUUUAUCAUAAACACAGCGGAACUCUCCGUGUGGGCAAUAAAUAAAGCGCGUUCAAGAGAAUACACUCUAAGAAUGAUAAAAGAUUUUAUAAUACGUGACUUAUAAGACUGGUAAUUAAGAAUGAUUAUUAUCCGAAGAACCCUUUUUGACCCUUUACUUAUAUAUUGGUCCGCACACAAUUCCCAUGUACUCAACAUCUAUUUGAUAAUACUUAACCUUAUUGUUUAACUCAUUUAACCAUGCUGUUGUUUUGAACUUCGAUCCUUGACGUUCAAAUAUCAUAUGUACCUAUCCUCGUCUCUUUAUUUGUAUGACUAGUUUUAUCCACAAUAGAUUUCUUUACCAGUCUUCACACUAGAGAGAAGAAUAGUCGGUUUGUACUAGGUACACUCGAUUUCUUAACCAGUCGUCGUUUAUCGAACAUAACAAGAAUGAAGAUUUUUUCGUACUGACAUACUUUUUUACUCUUUCCAGGUGAUUUAUUAAUCUCCCGCUAUCCGCGUCGACUUGGUUACUUUACUGGGAGGACGUCUAUAAGUUGUGAACAAAAUGUGAGAAAUACAGUGAAAGACUAAUCAACACCGCAUAAUGUUGUUUACCCAGGUGAACAACGUCCGUCACAAGAGGACGACCGCCCCAAGGUUUCACCUACACCUUGCGGUACUGGUUCUAGAAGUUUACAGGUUAUAAAGUAUCUGAUAUAGGUACUGUCUCCAGAGAAAAGAAAAUUUAUUUUUCACUGAAAGAGGAAGAAAAGGAAUCUAUUUAAAUACUAACUCCUCUUAUAUAAGGAAGUACACAACAAAGUCAUAUUUGCUGUAUCUCAACCAACAUGGGACUCAAAGAAGGAAGGAGGUUACCUAACUAACGUCAAGAUAGACUCGGAGUUGACCAGCUCACAACACGGUUGACAUUCAGAGUAACAAUCAGUUCUUACGUACGAACAAUCGUGUACGUAGAAGUUGUAGUGGGACCAAUACAAAGUAACAAAAGUCUUUACCCUUUACCAAAUUAUUAAAUGAGAGAAAACUCUUUUAGCCAUCAACGUCUUGUAUGAUAAAGUAAUAGUGCAUGACAAAACGUAAAAGGUAAUUUUACCUUCCUAAUGGAGGAUGUAACGUUCAUUAGAAUAAAAAAGAAGCAAUAAACAAAGGCCCUUUGUACUUAACUUACUACUAUCAUGUCUAAAUUAACCGGUACACGAACGAAAAAUGUCCUUGCUAGCUAUAUAACAAUUUUCUUACUUUCAUACGGGACGGACUUCUAAAAUCGAAAGAAAAAGUACUCUUCUAUCUUCCAAAGACCGGACAAUUGUAGUUAUAUUAAAGUUACUAGACGAUGGGAACAUAUAAAAGAGAAACCAAUUUGUUCUUCGAUAACGCAACCAGUCAUCUAGAGAGAAUUCAAAAUCUACACCUACUUUACGAAGAAAGAUCUACAAAUCAGGUAGUUCAUCACACUUGAGUAAACCGAGGGUUAGACGAAAGUCGAGAUUACUAAACCUAAUGAAGUUCUUCCUGUAUAUUCGUGUUUUAUUGUUUUUCUGCUGGUACUUCCGAUCUCGGUGGCUACGUCUCUUCUUGCACGUUCUCGACUUACGAUUCCGCCUAUCUGAAGUUUUCUGUUCGCCGCUCGUUUGGCAAUCCUAAGUUUUCUGAUUUUCACAAGAAUUUCGACGUCUCCUCCUCGACUACUUCCACGUCAAUCUUCGUUGUGGUUUUAGUCUCGUCGAGUCUCUCCCGUAUAAAGGAAGUUCAUGUAGGUCGCUGUUCGUUCCCUGAAGCGGCCGUUCGAGACCAGGGCUGUUUCUACCUAGACGCGUCUGCACCCUUCUCUACGUCUUCUUUUACCACGUCGCGGGUCAAAUGAAACAGUCAAGGGAAGACAUC
rnacentral:rRNA from 1 species